AUGAAAGCUCUAUCUUUAAUAACAAAAAAGUUAUGCAAAAUUUUCGAUCUAAAAAUGUACAUGUUAAUCGUAAAAAACCGAAAUUUCGAUUUUUCUCAAUAACUAUAAUUUUUUCAAUUUUGAUAAUUAUGUGCAAGGUGCCCCUUUGCGAGGAGUACUUGGCAGUUUUUAAAUGAAAGCUCUAUCUUUAAUAACAAAAAAGUUAUGCAAAAUUUUCGAUCUAAAAAAGUACAUGUUAAUCGUAAAAAACCGAAAUUUCGAUUUUUCUCAAAAACUAUAAUUUUUUCAAUUUUGAUAAUUAUGUGCAAGGUGCCCCUUUGCGAGGAGUACCUGGCAGUUUUUAAAUGAGAGCUCUAUCUUUAAUAACAAAAAAGUUAUGCAAAAUUUUCGAUCUAAAAAUGUACAUGUUAAUCGUAAAAAACCUAAAUUUCGAUUUUUCCCAAAAA